rfam:Colletotrichum gloeosporioides Nara gc5 unplaced genomic scaffold scaffold424, whole genome shotgun sequence.
GCCCGAGUGGCUCAGUGGUAAAGCGUCUCACUAGUAUCCGGUUCUCCGGUCCGAAAUGAGAAGAUCGUCAGUUCGAUUCUGGCCUUGGGCA